rnacentral:sRNA from 1 species
UGUUGUUUUGUUUUUGUUUUUUUUCCGCCCGAUUUUAAUUAGAGUUCAAACGAAGCAAAAAUGAGAAAUGUUGUUUACAUAAGUGAUAUAAAUCGGUUCAAUGCGAAUAUUUCGCGCCAAAUUAUCCGCUUUUACAUUUGCAUUACGAAAAAUGUUCUUUUGGUCUUUUAAAUUCGUUUUUGGUCUUUAAA